ACAAGUAGCUAGUGCUUUGUCUGUAAUGUUAGCUAAUUCUUGGUGGGUAACAUAAGAUUACGACAUUGUUCAACAGGCUCAGUUAUUUUUAGUAUGAUUGUUUUGACCACGAUUAACAACUCUGUGCUAACCCACAAAUUCAUCAGUAAUGUUAACUGUAUAGAUAGACUACUAAUCUAAUGGUAAUUUAGCCAGCUAGCACACCCCUGUCUGUCUGCCUCACUCUCCCGGCGCUGCAAGGCUUCAGUCGGGAUGAGAGCUGACAACAGCCCUAGGGACACAUCCACAGUCAGCCCCCAGCCAGCUAGCAGCCAGCCACUAUCAUUACAGCAUCCAAACCCGGUCAGCACUUAACUCCGGUGCUAAGGACACUAACGG